GCCUCGCAUGGAGACCCCGUGGCUGCAGGAGCUCACGAACGUCUAGUCCAAACCUCUUGUUUUACCCAUGGGGACACAGAGGCCUGAAGUCUCAAAUGGCAUUAGCAUCAGAGCCAGGACUCCAUCCCAAGCACCUGGAUCCCAUUUCAGAGUCUGCCCCAUCAGAGCACAGGGCCAGGAAGAUUAUUUCCAAACGUUUGCUUCAUGAAUGACGCAGUGGUGACAUCUUUGCAGAGGAGUCCUCAUCUGGAUCUGAUUAUGAGAGACGCCCAGUAAGGAAGUUACUGGGCCAAAGGUUCCCACCCAAGGCUUGUCUUGGCAAUUCCCAUGGCAGAUGUCACCUCUUGCUCCUGGUCAUGAUGGUAGGUGAUGCCAUCAGAGGUCCCAUCGAAUCAUGGCUCCCCACGCUGGACGAAGUGGUGGUGGCAGCACAAGGGUAUGCUCCCGUAAGGUCAAAUCUCCCACCCUGAGCUGCCUAGCUGUUCCUCUCAUCAACUCACCGCUUGGGACAGAACCAGCCGGACAGGGGCAGACUGCUGCAGACAUCUCCUGGGUUUCCUGCAUGUAGAGGAUGAAAAAUGAAUGACAUUCCAGCGUAUGACUGUACUGCUGCUUGUUUAUCCAUUUACCUUCUGAGGAACAUCUUGGUUGCUUCCGGUUUUGGGCGGUUAUGAGUAAUAAAGCUUCUAUAAACUUU